GCGCUGUGGGGCCGCCUCGGCCCCGCCCCGCCGCCGUGCCUGAGGGCUCGGUCGGGGGAAGGUGGCGGGAGAUGCGCUGAGGGUCCCCAGCGCCCGCCCUGCGCCCCCGGCCUUUUCUGUGCCCGUCACCGCCUCCGGCCGUCCCAGCCGCCUUUGUCUCCUUCCUAGAGCCACCGGCUGAUGGGGCAGCGCGGGAGGCGGACCGCGGCGCUGCGUUCCGCCAGGAGCGGCCGGUGUGUCCCGGCCGCGGGGGCCACGGCAGCCGUGAGUUACCAAGGUCACAGAGGCCUCGGUGAGCCCCGAGACCGCUCCUCACCACCCGCACCUAGCCCUCGGCCCCGGGCAAGAAGUUCACGUGGGCGGAUGGGGUCCGGUGUCCAGCGGGUGAGAAGCAGCAGCGCCCUUGGUGCGGUCCCUGCCAGCUCGGUGAGCUGGACACGUUGUGUACACAGCUGGCACUGUAGUGCAUGCAGGUCUGCUUGCCGGCGAAUGGCAGGGCCGGGCUGGCUCCUUCUUGAGCGAGAUGUUGGUGUAGGUGGCUACAGGAGCCCGUGCCUGUCUGCACAGAAUCACAGAACCAUGGGGCAGCCCAGGCUGGAAGGGAGCUGCUGGAAAGACCAUUGGUCCAACUUUUGUGGGAGGGAGCCCAGAUGAGAUUGUCGAGCACCCAGUCCAGUGGCAGCUUGGAAACCUCCCCUGACAGGGACUCUACCGUCACAUCCCUGUGUUUCAGUCAUUGCUUGUUCUCACCGUAAGAAAAUUUAUGUUGUGCCUUGUCUUCUCCAUGCGGUCCUCUGUGAGGAGAGCCUCCACCCUCUUUGUAGCACUCUGGUAUACUGAGAUUAGCGCCCUGCCUCCAAGCCUUCUCUCCUCAGGGGAGAUAAGAUGUAACUCCUUCCGUCUUUCCUCACAGGCAGGUUGUCCUCACCACUCAGUUUAGUGCUGUCAGCAGCCUGGGUGAAGAUGCUUUCAAAUCCACCACCCAAAUCCUUGUGAAUUUGGACAGCGUGGAGCCCAGUGCCAAUCUCAAGGAGACCCCGAGUUAAAAACACUGAUCAUAACCCUCUGAGUGCAGCCUGUUGGCCAAUUCUCUACCCAUCUUGCAAACCACCCAACCAGUCUGUGUCUUGCCGCUUAGUCCAAGGGAAGGCUGUAAAUGUCUUACAGGACUUCUUAGCUGAAUUCGUUUCUCUGGGUCCCAAACCCAGAGGGGUGUGGAGUGGAACCCUGCUGGAAGUAGAUCAAUGGAGAAUGGGUGUAGGAUUGAUUUUUCAGUUGAGCAGCCAAGUAAGAUGGAGGAAAAUAAUUCAGAAGAUGGCAAAUAUAAAUAUUUUUUUUUCUUCCUUUGCUCUGUGUGUGGGGAAAAACUCAACCCCCCACACCUGUAUCAGAUUAAACGUUGUUUAAUCUGAAAUGGUGCUCGUAAGCUUUCUAAGCCAGAAAGGAAAGCAAAUGGUGUGCUGUUUACUCACUUUCAGUUAUCCUGAAACACAGUAAUAAAGGCACUCCUCCAAGAAGUUGGAGGAGGUUCAGUUUCCCAUUCUGCCUGGCACGAUCUGGAUUUGCAUCUCGCAGAUAGCUCAUCUCAUCAUCUCCUCUACGAGCACAUACAUCUGCUUUAACUCAACUUGCUGUGUUUCUCACCUUCUUGUUUUCUCUUUGGUCGUUGUUUUUUAGUUUGUGUUUUCCUUUCCGUGUUUCUUACACGUGUACCUAUUUUUAUUUUUAAGAAUAAACCCCUUGCAGCUCUGACAGCACACAGCCCAUAGGGCUGGAGCUGUGCACACACAUCUCUUGUGGUUGAAACAGUCAAGGGGGAACAUGCCAUCUGUGAGCAUGAAGCUUUCUUUUCUUGGCACUUCUUUCCAAAUACACCACUGAAAUUUCUGCUGUGGACAGAAAUGCUUAUGUGCCAGAUGACGUUUCUAGUAAAUUAGUUUUGUGUGAGAGGGCUCUGGGAUUUUAGCAGACAGUUCCACCAUAACACUGCAAAAAAUAACAGCCUGAGAAAUCACAGAAUGUACCAGAGUCAGAAAAUGGUGUUGGAACACUGCAAUAAUCAGAUUUUCUUUAAUAAUUAGAUUUUCUUUCCUGCAUGUUUUUAGAGCUGCUUUUCUGAGAAUGAGGAAAUGGCAUACUGCUUGAGCAAAUUCUUAUUUACUCAGUAUUCCCUGAAACAGAAAACUUCACCCUGCUUCUGUGCAGCACGUGGGCUCCCGUGUCGCUGGGCAGCAGACCCUGCUUUGCUGACUUGGUUCAGUAUUUAAUUAUCCCCCUGUGGAGAUGUUAGGAUAUUUUAAAUAUUUAAGUUGCAACACUGAGGCUUCCACACUCAGCUCCUGUGGGCAGCCUUGGAGCAGACAUUCCCUCUGUCUGUGCACAGGAAAGGAGGGAAGGAAUAUGGAAAUACACCCCAAUUAUCUGAGUUUGAAACUGAGCGUCUGACUGAGCAGAAGGAUUUCACUGUCAUGUUGCUUGUCAGACCUGCUUCUUUUGUAUAAAUGAGGAAGAGAAGAAAGGUGCUAAAACUGCCCGAAAUAGAUAUUUUCAUACAAUUUUUAUUACCUGGAGCUGAUAAACAGAAUUCAUGGUUUCAGUCCACUACCCUCCAGUAAGAAUAACAAUUAGUGUUAUUUGGUUACCACCACACAGUCAAGUACAACCACAUAACUGCAGAAAGAGAACAAUGACACGAAAAAAAUUCCCCAAAUCUGGCAAAAAUUUAAAUCACAUGAUUAUGCUCAUAGUUUGGAAGAACGUGUUGUUACUGGGACAUUUUUGUCUCCCCUUCCUUUUGUGCCUUGUGUUUCUUACAUCCCUUACUGUAAUUUAAAUUACAUUAGUAGUUCACUGUGGCAGGAAUGUGUCGUAGAUGCUAAAGCAUUACACUUGCAGGGGUUUUUUUCCUUCUUUGGAAUUUAGUCUCAGCAGUUUAAGAAAGCAAAUGCACUGAUCACCCUCUUGUUGGAAGGUAACACUACCUCAGUUGCAGAGGGAUGGUGAAAACACCAGCAUACCUGCACAAACUGAACUAGAAAUUGUUUCUCCGUUUUGGUUUUCUUUUAUUACUUUGUUUUCAAUUUGUCCAUGCUCUCCUCUAGGCUGGACAGCACUUACUGCUCCUUGCCACUUGCUGCUCUGCACGAGGCUCCAAAUAACUCUCAGUUUAAUUCUUUAAGUAAACUUGGUAUAGUGAGUACUUCUGAAAAAAAAUAUUAAUUGCUUUGAUUUAAUUGCAGCUGAAAACCAUGAUUUUUAAAUGCUCCCAUGCCAGGGGAAACCCAACUUCAGUCAGUCCAAGCACACGAUCCAUAAAUUCCCAAAACCAGAACUGAGUGCCAAAUAAAAUGGCAUUAUCUGCGAAAUCAGGUCGUAAGCAUUCUAAACGGUCCCUAAAAAAGUGCUGGAACAUAUCUGGGCAAAAGCUGUCCGCACAUCACUCUCCUGGCCCUGCAGCACGGAACAGCAGCUGCUCACCUCACGUGGCAGCGCUGUGCUUCGCCUGAGGCAAUGAAAAUUACUCAGAAGAAAACAAGGCAGCCGUACCGGCGGAAGGAAGAGCUGAGGAGCCGCUCCGGGAGCGGGAGGAAAGCAAAGCCUGAGCACCUCUUUGCUACCUGGGCACAGCCUGCUCAGUGCACCCGGGGAGGCUGAGGCCCCACCAGAAAAUGAAUCGGUGCCUGUAAAAUGAAGUGCUUAUCACAACAAGUGAGGCACGAGGAGACAAAAUCACUCUGCUUUUGCAACUCUCAUCUUGGCAUUUUCCAUUACGUGUGUUUUUGACUUUGCACGCUUUGUUCUUUUUUCUUUCUUGGGUUAUCCUGUGGGAUCUUUCAGAUGUGAAUGCAGCAGAGAUCCGGCAGCAGACAAGAGCACUACACUUGUUUGCACUAGCGCAGCCACAGCGAAGCUCAAAGUCCCCGUGUCACAGCUUUACCCAGGUAUAGGCCCCUCGGGGGUGGUGGUUGUUUUCUUCCCUUUGUGGUUUCUUUGGUUACCAGCAUUCCCGCUGGGAUGGACGCUGUAACCGCUCUAGUCAGUGCUUCCUCUCUCUGGUUCAUACCACUUUUCUCUGCAAAACACCAUUUGUUGCUCAAGACCCUGCAACAGCACUUUCACAUCCCCAUCCAGGGAGGGCUUUGCUUCCUUGGAGCUGUAGAAUAAAACUACUGCGGUUCUGAAAUGUCCUCCUUUCGCUGAGUUGUUGGCAUAUUUGGAAGAGGCGGAUGCCACCAGUGACAUAUGGACGUGCUGCACAUGUUGCCUGUGCCCUGUGCAAAGUCAAGUGCUCAGAAAGAAGCCCAGAGAGCUUCCUUGUCCUGCCUGGCUCGGGAAAUGUGGGCACAGAGGCACGAGGAGUGAGCAGGACGUGGGGGUGGUGGAGAGAAAAGAGGAGUGAGCCACACCACAUGCAGGGGAUGGAGCAGCAGCACUGGACUGCUUUGCUUGCUGUGGUAGGAACACAAACUGGCGAUGGAUUUUGGCACACAAUGGUGUCCACAGGGUGAGGCUGGGUACAGUACAGAGGUUUCCCCACUUUUGUGCACAACCCCAGAGCACGAACUUGUCUUUGCUUGGGUUCCCAGAGUGAUUCAAUGCACAUUUCACAGCAUGAACACUCUGUAAGACCAAAGCAGCUCUGCUUACGCAUGUCCUUGUGCUUGAUGUGGUGCACGAGGACUGGUUCUAUUGAUUAGCACUAAAAUGCUGCCUCUGCCUAUUUUUGCCUAUUCCAAAGAAGGUUCUGCUGGCUAAAGCCAAACAAAACAUUUUGUACCAUUCCACCCAGCCAGCUGCAAUAGCCUUGAUGUAAAAAUCCCUAUGAUUUCCCUAGGGCAUUACUUUUGCCACCUGCCUGGAUUCCCUGAGCCUGACAGUAAGCACAGGGAUUUUCACUGUGACAAAUGGGGUGAGUUCACCAAGUAUUGCCUCACAAGGAGGAAAAAAUAUAAAAUAAAAUAUAAAAUAAAAUUAAAAAAAUAAAAUAAAACAAAAUAAAAUAAAAUACAAUAAAUAAAAUAAAAUACAAAUUAAAUUAAAUUAAAUUAAAUUAAAUAAAACAUUCCCACUUGUUCUCUGCCCUAACUUGCAGUGUUUGAACCUGUGACAAUGAGGUGGCUGCUGCUGGCAGCCACAGCUCACGGUGCUCUGGUGGGGGUGGAGGAUGAGGCUGAGUGAAUUCAAGAUUUUGCGUCUUAAGUAUGGUUUCUACUGCUGUGCUUCAAGGACAAUUUUAAAUUCUUGGUACGCCACAGGACUAAAGAUGAAGCUAAAAUUUCUGAUAUAAAGGCAGAAAACAGCCUGAGAGGUUUACAAAAAGGCCAUAGGAACCCCAGCUUCAGUUGCAGCAGUACUGUUCAAAUCAAGCCUCAAACAGAGGAAACAGCCUGCAGCAGAUGAUGCUCUAAUCUCCCUUUGGCAUCUCCCUGCCAGUUGCCAAUGCAGCCAUGUGCACAUCUGAGAGCAAAUUUUCUAGGACAGCACUGCGAGAGCAAAGUCUGGAGAAGUGCAUUAAGAGAGAGGUGUUGAGGGAGCUGAGGUGCCAAGGAGAGAACUGCUGGGAAUGCUCUGCACAUGAGAACACUCCAUGAAUCCAUUAUAAAUGAGACUGAUCUCUCAUCCAUACAUCAGGAGCCUUCCUCGCUCCAAAACCUGUGCUGCUCUCUAUCCUGUCUCAUAUGGGAGGUGAUACUGAUGAGCAGAAAAAAGGUAUGUUUGCUUCACAUGCUGUUUUUGGAUAGAGAGCACGGGUUGUGGAGGUGCAGAAGGAAACACAGGAGCUGCCUUCACUAACAAAGAAAUGCAGAUUUCCAAACCAUCUCUGCCCAGCCCCCAGUGGGAGCUUUUGUUUCUGUGUUGGCUUGGAAUUUGUAGUUGGUCUUGUCAAAAGAUGAUGGUUGUGCUGGAAAUUAAUUAUCAGCAGCCUCUGGUUGACCGAUUGAGGGGUUUUGGUGGGAGUUUUUUGUUCUUUAACCAAAUUUUGAAAAUGGGCCUUCAUAGAAAUACGACCAUAUCAAAUUAUAGUGAGGUCCUCUUGUGCCCUGCACUUGAGCCUUGCCAAGAGGGGUCAAAAAUGUGCACAAACAUUACUUAAAUGUUGCCGGGGUUUUCCCCGCAGACUGAACAGACCUGCAAAGACAGGCAAAGUCGGCAUUUCAAAAGAUGAUGAUUUUUAAUGGAGGCUGGGUCAGAGCCACAGCUUUGAUGAUAACAUCACCCUGUCCAGCAAGUGCCCUGAGCCUGAUUUACAGCACCAUCAGCAAGCGCUGCCUUGUGCCUCUUGUGGAAGGGCUAAGGGAGGGCACAAGGGGAGAAAACAGCGUUUUGUCACGGCUCGCUUUGCACGGGCUGUGAAAGUCCCGUCGGUGUGAUGGAAGUGGGGGAGAGGAGCGGCUGGCGGCGAUGCCUCGGGCCCCGAACUGCCGAGGUGGCAGCGCCCGCAGCCGCGCUCCUUCCCCCAGCAUCAUUCCCGCUGCCCCGGUAUCCUUCCCGCUGCCCCCAGCAUCAUUCCCGCUGCCCCGGCAUCCUUCCCGCUGCCCCGCUAUCCUUCCCGUUGCCC